UACGUAGGGUGCGAGCGUUAAUCGGAAUUACUGGGCGUAAAGCGUGCGCAGGCGGCGGCUCAAGCCAGAUGUGAAAUCCCCGGGCUUAACCUGGGAAUGGCAUUUGGGACUGCAAGGCUGGAGUUUGGCAGAGGAGACUGGAAUUCCUGGUGUAGCAGUGAAAUGCGUAGAUAUCAGGAGGAAUACCGAUGGCGAAGGCAGGUCUCUGGGCUAUAACUGACGCUCAUGCACGAAAGCGUGGGGAGCAACAAG
rnacentral:rRNA from 1 species